CACCGGCGGCUCGAGUGGUAACCGUUAUUAUUGGGUCUAAAGGGUCUGUAGCCGGCCGGAUAAGUCUCUUGAGAAAUCUGGCAGCUUAACUGUCAGGCUUUCAGGAGAUACUGUCUGGCUCGAGGCCGGGAGAGGUGAGAGGUACUUCAGGGGUAGGGGUGAAAUCUUGUAAUCCUUGAAGGACCACCAGUGGCGAAGGCGUCUCACCAGAACGGACCUGACGGCAAGGGACGAAAGCUAGGGGCACGAACCGG
rnacentral:rRNA from 3 species